UGAGGGAUAUUGCGCAAUGGGCGGAAGCCUGACGCAGCGACGCCGCGUGGGGGAUGACGGCCUUCGGGUUGUAAACCUCUUUCACCAUUGGCGAAGGCCCGUUUUUUGCGGGUUGACGGUAGGUGGGGAAGAAAGCGCCGGCUAACUGCGUG
rnacentral:rRNA from 1 species